GAGACAACAGGGCUCCUAGCAUUUUGUGAUGAAGGGAAUCAUCAUGCAUGUGAGAACUGUUCCCAGAGGCAUUCCUCUCAUCUUGGAACUAAAGCUGUUCCCUAACUCUACACAUACUCUGCCAACAUCCAACACAGGUAGAGAGGCCCAGAUCACAUCAAUCCUACCCCAAACACAGCUUCAGCAGCCUCUGAACCAGGUAUAACAGAUAACCUAGCACCAGCACCUUAAGCCUCCACCAACCCAGCACCUCCAAGGCCUGCUGAGCCUAGGUCAGGAGUCAUCCUGCCCAUCUACCACCAGCCAAGUACACACUUCCACCAAAACUCAAAGGCACACUGCAGAAAAGCCUCAUUAAUUUUUCACAAGAUUUAUCUAAUAGUGGCUGAGCAGAGCUGAGAAAGCCACAUUCAAGUGCCUGUGCCAACAGCUUGCAAAGAGUUAACCCAUUAGGCCACAUCCUGGUGAGCUCAUCCCUGCCGCUGGAGCCUGCUCAGUGGCUAGGAUUUGCAGCACACUGACUCUGGAUGUGGCCAGGGUGGCUUUCUCCAGCUGGGAUGCAGGACUUGAGCAGAAAUUCAUUGCCACCUUCUUCCCUGCGCGAGUGCCGACUGAGUCCCAGGUUCCCCGUCUUCCCCCGGGACACUGUGCACAGUCUGUCUAACACAGAAGAAUCAAAUCAAGAUGCACUCUCUUUGCAGUACCUCCUUUGUAGCAUCCAAGAGAGACCCAGAUGCUACAAUGAUGAAGCUUUGACAUCACCCACAAGAAUAACCACAAAUGACUGUGACUACCACGUCUCUAUCUAUAACCCAACUACCCUGCACCAAACCACUAAGACUGCUGCCACCAUUCCAGGAGUUCGUGAGGGAUUGAGAUGCCAUGAAGUUCCACCAGUGGGGCUGUUAUAGGAACCACUCUGCUACAGGGUUCGAUCCCAAGGAAGCCUCUGACCAAAGUGUUUUCUAAGAACUGCCCAUUGGAAUCAAAUACAGACACCCAUCUGGGGUUUCCCAUGAAUACGCAUCAUACAGUACUGCUGCCAUGCCCCUCUGACACUCACUGGACUCUGAGCCCCUGGCUCCUCUUCAUCCCACCACUCAGGAUACACAGAAGCAGAUUCCAACAUGGAUACUGAAACAUGAAUGCACAGCUAAAGUGCAUGCAAGGGAACUCUCCAUACUGACAAAUAUGCUGGCACUGUUCACAUAGGCCCACCUAGGUGCGGAGCCAGCCAUGGGGCUGCUCACAUUGAGCUUCAGGUUGACUGAAACCUUCAGGCAUUUUUUAUUUGACAAGCACUCUAGGCCUCUGCUCUGCUGUCUGUGUGAUGUUCAAGACUUCAAGAAGACUGUAUUUCUAGCCUAAAAUACCUGUAGUCCAGUACAGCCUUACUCCAGUAUCUACUGAAGACCUCCAUCCCUGGGCUGAUUGGAAAGAUGUGCUGUUUUGUAACCCAGACUGACCUACUCCACUAAUUUAUAUUUCCUAUGGUCUGGUUUUGCACUUUGUAUUUAUACUAUGCCCUAAAUGAACAUGUUUCCUUUAAGCUGCCCCAUAUCUUUUAUGGUAUGGGGUGGUUGCCUAAAUAAAGAAAUGGAUAUGUUUUUAUGUGGCA
rnacentral:lncRNA from 1 species